GGAUGCGAUCAUACCAGCACUAACGCAUCGGAUCCCAUCAGAACUUCAAUGUUAAGCAUGCUUGUGCGAGAGUAGUACUAGGAUGGGUGACCCCCUGGAAGUUCUCGUGUUGCAUCCC